ACCGGGACUUGGGGAGCGAGGGAUGCAACAUGGUGCAUCUGGGAGGCCUGCUAACUGGCUAACUUCUCCGGCGUUCCUCCCGGCCGAGGCGUGGGCACAGAAUAGCGCAGGUGAGGCCCAGAUAUGGUGUCUCGAUACGGCGCGGAAGUUUGAAGACAUCAUUUUCCAGUUUUGGAGCCGACUAAUGAACUAGUUCUUAAGUGAAAGGCAUUUAACACGACUGUGCAUCUACAGGUACUAGGUUUCCAAGAUGCCUUUCCAGACUAAAACCCACACAUGUGAGCCGCUGGCCGGACAAACAUCUGGCACCUAACGUGGGGCUGAAAAACAGCAGAGGACAUUUGGAAGAAACACUGCUGGUUUGGAGCUCCAUAGAAGAAGAAAAUAAUUAAAGGAAAUUCAUACCAGAGAAGAAUCCCUAAGUACUGUAGAAUACAGUUUGGAAACAUGAUCUUCACCCCAGUGUUUCUAGACCUUGCUGUCUAUGAAGCUCUCAAAUCCCACCUGAUAGUGUCUACUCAACAAUGAAGAGCUUCAUCAUCAUCGUCAUUGUUGUUCCACCUCCAAGGCUAGAAUUUUCUUCUUCCACCAUUGAAGGAAGCUGCAGCUCCUCUCCUCUGGAUCUUUAUGACCACACCAGGAAGCAUUGUGAUCUGCAGUCACUGCCAACCUGCAGGAUAACACAGCUUGUUCCUCUGGGAACUGCCCUGCAGUGUCUGCAUACAGCCACCCUCGACCUGUCUGCCUGGUCUUUGCAACCUCUAGUGGCUGUUGUUCCACAAUGUGUUGUGAAGAGACCUGAAUGGUUUGCACCAAAACACAAACACAAACCAUUGGGAGAGUGAUUGGUGAAGUGAUGGACAUUUACUCGGGCAAAGGCAUGCAUGUAAAAUAGUCCCUAUCUGGAUGGACCUACGCCUGUGGCAGGAAGUUCACUGGUCAAUUACCUGCUGACUGAAGUGGCCUAUUUUCUUCUGACCCCCUGCUUCUCUCUUCCCCUCUCCGCCCUGAAAGCUGUUUGGGCAUAGGGAGGUCUUGACCUGAGGAAACCAUCUUGGGUAACCAAGGCAAGGAAAGGGAAUAUGCAACACCUAGGAGAUUUCAGCAAACAGUAGAAUCAUGCCAACGUAAUCUGUGUUAAAAUGCUUGGAAUGUGGGAGCCGCCGGUGAUGUCUGUUGUCUGUGUGUCUCCAGUAAUCCUUUCUUUUUUAAGUGCAGCAAAGCCAAGCCUGGAAACCAGGCCAAGCGCCUGCCACUUACCUUAAAUUUAUCAGCCACUUUGAGAUUAAAACCCCUGAAAGCUGCUGCACAGUGAAAGCAAGGCCUCCUUCACAUUAAAGGCAAAUCGCAA
rnacentral:lncRNA from 1 species